rfam:Triticum aestivum genome assembly, contig: Triticum_aestivum_CS42_TGACv1_scaffold_526647_6DL
GCCCGGUGAUGACUAAUUUAAGGCCUGUUUCUCAAAACAUCCGCAGUUGCCGCAUAUGUGCUUUCUCCCUGCCAGGCUUGAGAGCUAAUGCCGUUAGAUCCUUCCUUGGGUGUCUGAGGGC